CUGAGGCACGCGGUAGCAAAGCAGCAGACUGGUGUCAUGGGGGGGGGGUCUGCCUUCACUCACUGCAGGGGACAAUGCCACCUCACACGUCCCCGUGCCAGGGGAAUUUGGACUUAGGGAAACACAUCCCAUACUGCACGGAAAUGAAUCGGCACAUGUAAAUAAAUCAUUAUCUGAUUUAUGCUGCCCGGGGACCUGGUCAUGCUUUCAAGGUAUUUCUGACUCAAGCCCUGUUUGUCUGUAACCAAGUCUCCCAUCAGUAGCUCGUUGCUUUCCCAAGGGCCCCUUGUUCCGUCGGUCCCUUUCUGUUUGGCUGGAACAGACUCAUCAUUCAUUGUCCAUCUAAUUUAAGAACCCAUCUGACAGGCUUUUUCUUUCCUUGCCCUAGCCGAUGACUUGCAUGGUGCAUUCAGCCACAAAGGAAAAACUGCCCUCAGGGGUGGCAAGAAACAGAAACUUCUAGAAAAAGAUCCGAGGUGGUGUUACCUGGCAGCACGGAGCAGAAAUGCCCACUUUGAUAGGCAGU